rnacentral:ncRNA from 1 species
UUUAUAACCUAAUAAUUUGGGCUUUAAUGUGGCGACACAUUAUCGAAACCUCUCUAAUUGCUGGAAAAUCUCACCGAGACAAUCAGCAGCCAAGCCUUGUAUAAGGAAGGUUCAACGACUAGUCGAAAGACGUAGGAUGCAAGCGCAUUCGAAACGGGAGGGCUCUCUAGUAGAGUUUGAUAUAGUCUGAACUUCACAGCGAUGUGGAG